rnacentral:rRNA from 1 species
CGAGUGAACAGGGAAGAGCUCAAAUUUGUAAUCUGGCGUCCCUUGGGCGUCCGAGUUGUAAUCUAUAGAAGCGUUUUCCGUGCUGGACCAUGUCCAAGUCCCUUGGAACAGGGUAUCAAAGAGGGUGACAAUCCCGUGCUUGACAUGACGACCAGUGCUCUGUGAUACGCUCUCUACGAGUCGAGUUGUUUGGGAAUGCAGCUCAAAAUGGGUGGUGAGUUCCAUCUAAAGCUAAAUAUUGGCGAGAGACCGAUAGCGAACAAGUACCGUGAGGGAAAGAUGAAAAGCACUUUGGAAAGAGAGUUAAACAGUACGUGAAAUUGUUGAAAGGGAAACGAUUGAAGUCAGUCGUGUCCGAGGGGUUCAGCCGGUCAUGCCGGUGUAUUCCCCUCGGAUGGGUCAACGUCAGUUUGGACCGGUGGAAAAGGGCAGUUGGAAGGUAGCAGCUCCGGCUGUGUUAUAGCCUUCUGUCGCACACGCCGGUCUAGACUGAGGCAUGCAGCUCGCCCUCGUGGCUGGGGUUCUCCCACAUUCGAGCUUAGG